rnacentral:misc_RNA from 1 species
AAGUCGUAACAAGGUUUCCGUAGGUGAACCUGCGGAAGGAUCAUUGCAAAUCGAAAAGUGGGUGAGUGGGGAGGAGUGGGGGAGCGGUGGUGGUGAGGAGCAAGCUCUUCUCGCCACUCGCCACCUCCACUCGCACCACGCCCGCCGACAUUUGGUCGGGACUUGUCCCGGAUCAUAUUCACGCUUGUGCUGUUUGCCAGAGUGACAGUAAUCACAAUAAUGACAA